rnacentral:rRNA from 1 species
UGGGAAUUUGGACAAUGGGCGAAAGCCUGAUCCAGCAAUGCCGCGUGUGUGAAGAAGGCCUUCGGGUUGUAAAGCACUUUUGUCCGGAAAGAAAUCCUUGGCUCUAAUACAGUCGGGGGAUGACGGUACCGGAAGAAUAAGCACCGGCUAACUACGUGCCAGCAGCCGCGGUAAUACGUAGGGUGCAAGCGUUAAUCGGAAUUACUGGGCGUAAAGCGUGCGCAGGCGGUUUGCUAAGACCGAUGUGAAAUCCCCGGGCUCAACCUGGGAACUGCAUUGGUGACUGGCAGGCUAGAGUAUGGCAGAGGGGGGUAGAAUUCCACGUGUAGCAGUGAAAUGCGUAGAGAUGUGGAGGAAUACCGAUGGCGAAGGCAGCCCCCUGGCAAGUACUGACGCUCAUGCACGAAAAGCGUGGGGAGCAAACNGGAUUAAUACCCUGGUAGUCCACGCCCUAAANGAUGUCAACUAGUUGUUGGGGAUUCAUUUCCUUAGUAACGUAGCUAACGCGUGAAGUUGACCGCCUGGGGAGUACGGUCGCAAGAUUAAAACUCAAAGAAUUGACGGGGUCAGCUGUUUCCU